rnacentral:rRNA from 1 species
UACGGAGGUUGCAAGCGUUGUUCGGAAUGACUGGGCGUAAAGGGAGCGCAGGCGGCCAAGUCAGUCUGAAGUGAAAGCCCGGGGCUCAACCCCGGAAUUGCUUUGGAUACUGCCUGGCUUGAGUAUGCGAGAGGAAAGCGGAAUUCCAGGUGUAGCGGUGAAAUGCGUAGAUAUCUGGAGGAACACCGGUGGCGAAAGCGGCUUUCUGGCGCAUAACUGACGCUGAGGCUCGAAAGCGUGGGGAGCGAACGGGAUUAGAUACCCCCGUAGU